GAUGAACGCUGGCGGCGCGCCUAACACAUGCAAGUCGAACGGUUAAAGCACCUUUUAGGUGUGUAUAAAGUGGCGAACGGCUGAGUAACACGUGGGCAACCUGCCCUCCUCUUGGGGAUAGCCUCGGGAAACCGAGGAUAAUACCCGAUACUUCAAUGUGGCCGCAUGACGACAUUGAGAAAGCUUUUGCGGAGAAGGAUGGGCCCGCGGCCUGUUAGCUUGUUGGUGGGGUAGAGGCCUACCAAGGCAAUGAUGGGUAGCUGGGUUGAGAGACCGACCAGCCAGAUUGGGACUGAGACACGGCCCAGACUCCUACGGGAGGCAGCAGUGGGGAAUCUUGCACAAUGGGCGAAAGCCUGAUGCAGCGACGCCGCGUGCGGGACGAAGGCCUUCGGGUUGUAAACCGCUUUCAGCAGGGACGAGGCGAUA
rnacentral:rRNA from 2 species